rnacentral:tRNA from 1 species
GAACUAAUUACAAUUAUGUUUUGAAAACAUAAUUUGGGUUAUCCCUUAGUUUU